UGUUAAAAUUUCAUCCAUUUCUAUCAUUAAAAAUUGGUAUGGCUAACAAAUUAACCAGACAGUAGCAUGUGACAUACCAUGUGUACCUUAUGUUGACGUACAUUGUCCAAUUUGUAAUAAUAGAAAUUGAUGAAAUUUUUAACA
rfam:Gossypium raimondii Chr11_contig_9, whole genome shotgun sequence.